rnacentral:rRNA from 1 species
AUACGGAGGGUGCAAGCGUUAAUCGGAAUUACUGGGCGUAAAGCGCGCGUAGGCGGUUUGAUAAGUCGGAUGUGAAAUCCCGGGCUCAACCUGGGAAUUGCAUUCGAUACUGUCAGGCUAGAGUGUGGGAGAGGGAAGUGGAAUUUCCGGUGUAGCGGUGAAAUGCGUAGAUAUCGGAAGGAACACCAGUGGCGAAGGCGGCUUCCUGGACCAACACUGACGCUGAGGUGCGAAAGCGUGGGGAGCAAACAGAAUUAGAAACCCUAGUAGUCC